rnacentral:lncRNA from 1 species
ACGGACUAAUGAGCAACUCUCUGCAGUCAGUGUGUGGGUAUCCAGCCUGCACGUGUCCCGCACACCAGGGGCACCUGCACGCUGCAGCCCCUCAGCAGAGGUGGAGGCAGCCGGGUGCCUGCUGCUCCCCACUCACACUGCGUGGAGCGUGUAGGAAAUGGCAGCCACAGGAAGGCUGCAGACUCAGGGAGUCGGAGAGCACAGGGCCCAGUAUGGAUACUGCACCAAGGCCUCUGAGGAAAUAAGUCAACUGCUGCCUUCACAUACUUGUUCAAGCCGUGUUGCCCGAACUUGUGCGGAACGGACCCUAUGCAUUUCCACUCUCCAUGACUCGCAUGCAGCUGCCAGCCAGCCACCGAACCACAUCAGCAGUGGCUCCCUGCCCGCAGUCAACCGCAGCGGUGAAGACAUUCCCGCAGGGCCGCACCCCAGCUCAGGGGGGUGUCUCCUGCCUCCCUGCCUCAGUUUCCCUCUGCAGCAUGGAAGGAGUUCGAGUAAACCCGGACCUCAGGAGGCCCUGUGCUAGUGCUCGUUAUUCUGUGACUGAAUACAAGUGGGCCACACACCCAGCACCUUGUCUGAGCCAUGUGGGCCCGGAAGGUCUGGUUCUAGAGCUGUGGUGUGGAGAACUGUGUGGACUCGACUGCUGCUGCAGGCUGGGCCGAGGGAUUGCUAAGGCUCCCAUGUUAAAGGCUGGGCCCUCCGAGGGUGUGGUUAGGAGGUAAUGGAGGCGGUAAGGGGGCCCAGUGGAGGUCCUCAAAGAUGACUGGAGGACCAGGACACCUCCUUUUGCUCUUUUUUUGGAAAUGGGGUGGUUGAGAUAAGGUCUCUUCUAAGUAGUCCAGGCUGGCUUUGAAUCAGAGCAAUUCUCCUCCUGCCUCAGUCUCCCGAGUGCUGGGAUGACAGGCAAAGAAAUCUUUUCUCUUUAUAAGCUGAUGACCUCAGAUGUGUGUCACAGUGGCGGACAGCUGACUAGCACAGCAGCAGAGUAUUCCUAACCCAGAAAUCCAGUGCGGUAAAACCAGAGACUUUGGACUGGAUUGAGAGUUCAAUCCAUGAUCCUAAAUUUUGGAUCAGGACUUUUAUAAGCAAAUCUAAAAGGGAACCAGAAACUAUCCAGGUGCAGUCAAGUAGUGCUUCAAAAAAAAUCACUGCUUUCUUGAGUUUUCUAUGUUAUGUUUUUCAAUAUGCUAAAAGAAAUCACUUAUUGUUUCAGAUACAGAAAUCUUCAGGAAGUUGGAUUUACCUCAAUCUUUUCUUUAAGCAGAGAUAA